rnacentral:rRNA from 1 species
UAGGGAAUCUUCGGCAAUGGACGAAAGUCUGACCGAGCAACGCCGCGUGAGUGAAGAAGGUUUUCGGAUCGUAAAACUCUGUUGUUAGAGAAGAACAAGGACGUUAGUAACUGAACGUCCCCUGACGGUAUCUAACCAGAAAGCCACGGCUAACUACGUGCCAGCAGCCGCGGUAAUACGUAGGUGGCAAGCGUUGUCCGGAUUUAUUGGGCGUAAAGCGAGCGCAGGCGGUUUCUUAAGUCUGAUGUGAAAGCCCCCGGCUCAACCGGGGAGGGUCAUUGGAAACUGGGAGACUUGAGUGCAGAAGAGGAGAAUGGAAUUCCAUGUGUAGCGGUGAAAUGCGUAGAUAUAGGGAGGAACACCAGUGGCGAAGGCGGCUCUCUGGUCUGUAACUGACGCUGAGGCUCGAAAGCGUGGGGAGCAAACAGG